AUUGAACGCUGGCGGCAGGCCUAACACAUGCAAGUCGAACGAGUGGCGGACGGGUGAGUAAUGUCUGGGAAACUGCCCGAUGGAGGGGGAUAACUACUGGAAACGGUAGCUAAUACCGCAUACCAUCGGAUGUGCCCAGAUGGGAUUAGCUAGUAGGUGGGGUAACGGCUCACCUAGGCGACGAUCCCUAGCUGGUCUGAGAGGAUGACCGGCCACACUGAAACUGAGAAACGGUCCAGACUCCUACGGGAGGCAGGAGGGUGGAAGAGGGCACAAUGGGCGCAAGCCUGAUGCAGCCAGGCCGGGUGUAUGAAGGAGGCCUUCGGGGUGUAAAGUACUUUCAGCGAGGAGGCGUUACUCGCAGAAGAAGCACCGGCGAACUCCGGGCAAGCAGCCGCGUAAUUC
rnacentral:rRNA from 1 species